rnacentral:rRNA from 1 species
AUGCAAGUCGAACGCAGUAGCAAUACUGAGUGGCAAACGGGUGAGUAUAAUGUGGGAAUCUGCCUUUUGGUUUGGAAUAACACGGGGAAACUUGUGCUAAUACUGAAUAAGCCCUUACGGGGAAAGUUUUAACGCCGAAAGAUGAGCCUGCACUUGAUUAGCUAGUUGGUAAGGUAAAAGCUUACCAAGGCGACGAUCAAUAGCUGUUCUUAGAGGAAGACCAGCCACAUUGGGACUGAGACACGGCCCAGACUCCUACGGGAGGCAGCAGUGGGGAAUCUUGCACAAUGGGGGAAACCCUGAUGCAGCGAUGCCGCGUGAGUGAAGAAGGCCCUUGGGUUGUAAAACUCUUUCGUCGGGGAAGAAAAUGACUGUACCCGAAUAAGAAGGUCCGGCUAACUUCGUGCCAGCAGCCGCGGUAAUACGAAGGGACCUAGCGUAGUUCGGAAUUACUGGGCUUAAAGAGCUCGUAGGUGGUUAAAAAAGUUGAUGGUGAAAUCCCAAGGCUCAACCUUGGAACUGCCAUCAAAACUUUUUAGCUAGAGUGUGAUAGAGGUAAGUGGAAUUUCUAGUGUAGAGGUGAAAUUCGUAGAUAUUAGAAAGAACACCAAAUGCGAAGGCAACUUACUGGGUCACUACUGACACUGAGGAGCGAAAGCAUGGGUAGCGAAGAGGAUUAGAUACCCUCGUAGUCCAUGCCCUAAACGAUGUGUGCUAGACGUUGG